CUUCUCUCCUCUUCUCUUCUCUUUGAACUUCUGCUCUCAAAACAACAAAACCCUAGGACCAAACACAUUAAUGGCCACACGUAACCUCCUUCAUCUAACGUCGUCGGCGGCGGCAACAAUGCCGUUAACCGCAUGAUUGGUAACGGCUUACAGACUCAGAGAGGUUUAGUCCACUUCUUCUGCUACAGAUGUCUGCAGAUGUGGUCCGCAGACUGCAGACAUUUUAACUCUGAAAAAACAAACAGCACCUCAGUCACGCAGCCCUUCGCCUUCCCUUAGUCACUCUCUUCAGCCCUUAAGGUUCGUUUAAACCCUAUUGUUGAUCUCAAUGGUAGUAUAGUAAGCUUCUUUCUUUUUUUACUUCAUCUUAGUUAAACUAUGGAGUUCAGAUUAUAAAAAUUUAUAAAUCUAAAACAGAAAAGAACUGCUGCAAUUUGAUUUGAGGUUCAAAAUGGGUAAAAAUUUUAACGCCCAAAGGAACAAGCUUUAUUAACACCGGCAAACAAUUUGAUUGGAUUGUUUCCCAUUAUUGGAGUGCCAUCCCCUUUAAAGCUGGUUCUUUUUUAACUUUUCAUAAACUCAAUGUUCUAUACAUUCCACAAUAUUAAAAGAAGCUAUCAAAUUGAUAACUAAGACUUAAACCAUAAUUGGUGUUGUAGUCACAUUGUUAAGGGAUUGGGUCUGGUUGGGUUGAGUGGCAGGUUAGAUUGGGUUCGGGUUAGAGCGGGUUAAAUUAAAAAUGGAUUUAAUAUGGUUUGGCUCAGAACGGCUCAUCAGCAAAAUAGGUUCCGGUUAGAAUUGGUUCUCAGCAAAAUAGGUAUUUUGCCGGAGAUGGAACAAUUAUGGUCAGCUCACAAAAGAAGCUAGCAAAAAAUGGAUGCUGGGACAUAUAGCAUAUAUAAGGGAAAAAUCUGACAGUCAACUUUUUAAUUAUACGGUCUAUUUAGCAAUACAAACUCGUUACUUAUAGAAAGUUGAUGAACUGUGUGAAAGAUACUCGAAACAGGAAUAUUAGCACCAACAAACUUCCAUUGUGUUUCAGUCAGAGAGCUGUUGGUUUAGCAAGAUGGAUGUCAUAUGUUGCAAACCAUUGUAAGGAGGGUGAAUGACCAAAUGGUGAAGAGGAUAUGAAAUAUUGCAUAAUGGGAGUUGGUGAUAACCAUCAACCAUGACACAAUUGAUGAGGAUAUUAUUUAUGAGCAUAAUGAAGUUUCGAGUUUUUAUUUAAAUAUUUGUUAGGUUUUUGUUUUAUAUGUUAGAUAUUUAGACUUAAUGUGACACUUGUUAGACAUUUGGAAGAUAAUAGAAGUUAUGAUAUUAUGCUUUC